rnacentral:snRNA from 1 species
CUAACAAGGAUUCCCUUAGU